GGGUCUGAGGGCGGGGCGGGGCGAGGAGCCUGAUUCCGGGGGCUGAUCAGGGACAAAAUUGAUGGGCUGGCGCGUGCGCGCCCCGGGAUACGUCAGUUCCGCGUAGCAACGGCACCGUGUGUCCCGUUGCUAUGGGCGCCCACAGAGUUCCGGACUGGGCAGUCGCUCAGAGGCAGGUGCUGGAGGAGCCGAGAGGUCCUGAUAGUCGAAGUCCCAGCGACGCCGCGGAGGCCAUGAGGACUCACGUGUCCCCACGUGGGGCUGUGCUUCUGGACUUGACAUUUAUUACCGUCACCAUGGAAACAGCUCGUGCUCGAGUCACCAACUGGCUGCACUACCCACUGGUGGAUGCCCCACUUCCUGGAGACCUUGACGCCAUACCCUGCCAGCCUCCCGCCUUCUCACAGACAGCUUUCAUCCGAGAGCUGGCAGAGCUGGAAAGCCGGAACCUGGCCCUCGCGGCUCCCCCUCCGUCAGGUGAGCCCCAUGCAGGACCAAGUGAGGCGCAGCCUUGGCGAAAGCCUCAGAGUUCUCCCCGUCAAAUGAGGGAUGGCAGCAGCAGCCCUUCCCUCGCGGGGUGUGAGAGCCAGCGGAUGUGAGAGCUGCCAAGUGGGCGGCCACCCUCACCCCCGUGCUGCACAGGAGCCUCCCCUUGGAGUCCCCUCCUCCUGGGGUCCCCCCAUGGUGUCCAGGCUCUUCCCGGUCCCACCCUGUCCUGCCAUGUGGACGUCUGCCUGCCUGCCCCGCAGAUCACAACCUCUUGCUUUUCUUGCCUCGACCACGAGCAACCACAGCACAGCCCUUUCUGAUUUCCAGACACCAAUGGUCUUGGCCCAGCCCCCAAGAGUGGUGGUUUGACAGACCUGGGCCACCGGGGCUGCUCGCUCAGGCUCGACAUCCAGAGAAGCAGCCCCCAGGGGGGACUUCAGCCACACAGCUCAGCCUCAGCCCAGAUGGCCUGGCUGGAGUCGUGACCCCACUUACAGAUGACGUCACCCCUCCCCUGGCCCCCAUCCUCUGCUCCAUCUGGACCCCGGAGGCAGGUGAGAGCCGCAGGCUGGAGCUCCGACUUUGCCUAAAAAAGGAAGCGGCUCAGCGGAGCCUGAGGAGCUGGGGCAGGAACAAGCAGGAACUGUGUCCCGCCGCCCCCACCCCCUCGCAGGGAAUCUUGGCAGUGGCGAUGCUGGCUCAGCUCCACAGACCUCGGGCCUCGGCUGGGACCAGAAAAUGCCUGGUGCUUCCGCCUGGGCCCCGUGGGGGGAGCAAUGGGUUGGGCCCGCAAAGUCCAGGGUGUGCCGCCAGAGGGGUCUCACCUGGCCCCCAGCCCCCCCAGCACACAAGGCUGACCAGGGCUGCUGUGGGGAUGGGGACUGUGAGAAGAGGCCAUGGGGGAGGCGGCAGCAGCUGCAGGAGGCCCCGGGGUCCAGCGGGAGGUGACCCAGGGAGCCCUAGGAGAGGCACGCCCAGGUAGACACGUGCAAACAUUUCUUGGUUCAUCCUCCAUCUCCCUGGGCACCCACCUGCCCUGGGCAGGGAGCUGGGCAUGGUGGAUCCGCCCUGUGGCAAGACAGCAGCUCCCCUGCUUGUCCCCCAGUUCUGCCCGGCAGGCAGGCCCACAGUCACACCUCAGCCUACACUGCUGGGCUGACAGGGAAGUUUCCGUCCCUUCUGGAAAAACUGAGCAGGUCUUCUUGGCUGUGACUCAGGCCCUCGAGGAAGCAGCCACUCUCCUCUCUCUAGCCUCUCCAUCAGUGGGAGAAAUCACGGGAGGCCCAGCCUCAGGAGUGGUCAGCCAGGGCCUCUACCCAGCCUUGGGUGAGCUAGGCCACCUGCCCUGGCCCAGAGUUCCUGAUCAGCUCUGCCCAGAGUCACUCCUGCUGCUCAUGCUCAGCUCUUGCCUGACCCCUGGGGGACUCCCAUGCCCCCCGCCCCCAGCUCUGCUCUCCUGGCCCCCUGCUCUGCCCUGUGGCCUAGCCAGCCACACUGCCCCCACUGUCAACAUCAUGGGAAGUCUUAUUGCUGUGUCCUGGACCCCCUGAGGGGAGACUGGGCAGAUGAAGGGUCUGGGAGGAACAUGGGGUCAGCCAGAGGUGCAGUGGUCACGCCAGGGCUGGACUUGAGGCAGACACUAAGGAAGCACAAAUAUAACGCUCCGGAAACCUCUCUGAAGGAAGACAGGCCAGGGGGCCAAGUGGCCAGGGAAGGACCGAGCAGCCAGGACACAGUGGGCCCUGGCCCCAGGCUGUCCCUCCCCCAGCCCAGCCCUGCCUGGUCCUGGCGUCCUGGAGACCAAGAGGAAGGAGCUGCCUGCGUGCUGAGGUGGUUCUGUCUCCGCAGCCUUGGCCCAGUCCAGUAGUCCCUAAGCAUCACUUCCUGGAGCUGGCCCACCCUGCCCGUCAGUCCACAGGCAGGUGGAGGGGGUUCCCAGAACCCCAGGCACACUGCUCCAUGGGCGCCGCCCCUGCCCCACCCGGUCUGCAGGGCGCUCCCUCCUCCGCACAGUCCAGGCCUCUGCAGAGAUGAAGGGCCUUUUGUCCCCAGCUCGCUGUGGUCAUGCUGACCCCAGGGAAAAGGGCAACUCCCCGAGCCUCUGACCCCACCCGUGACCCCAGCAAGGGCACUCUUGGCCUGAGGGGCAGAGCAGCCUGGGCCCCACCCCCACCCUUCAGGGUGCUGUGUGCUGCUGUUUUUCACACAUACACCCGUGCACACGCGGGGGGCACACAGAAACAGGAAGAGUGGUGGCUCCCAUGGGCCUGGGGCUAGGUUGUUGGGUGAGCUGAGGCCCUCUGACCACACCCCAACAACAAGAAGUGGGGCAGAGGGAGGGGGCAGCCAAGAGCAGCAGGGCCCAGAGGCCCCUUCCACCAUCCACCCAGCUGCCCCACCCACACAUUCUUCUAGACUCGACCUGCCUGUUUGUGGUCAGGGACACACUAGGGCCUGAGGACUGGUCCUGGGGAUCUAGAGGUCCCGUCAUCUCACGCCCCAGGAGCCCAGGCCUGCCCGCCGUGGCCCCAGAGCUGAUCCUACGCAGUCCCCCUGCUGGCAACAGCCAGGGUGGCAGGGAAGGCAGCUGGUGGGGUGGGCAGCCUGGGCAUGGGGUGCCAUCCUGUCUGCGUUUGUCCAUCAUCUCUGUGCUGGGCCCAGCCACAGGCCAGAUUCUGCACUGGGGACACCCAGGCACCAGGCAGAGCCCUGUCCUCCCAGCACAGCCAGGCUGGAAGGGGGAUGGGCAGUGGCUUGCAAAGUUGCUUAUCUACUUAUUUUCCCCAUGGAGGGUGGGGCCAUGUCAGACCAGGUGGUCAGGAGCUGCAGGAAGUGCCAAGACGGCGGGGUGGGGGCAGGCCGGUGUGUGUGAGGACAGUAAGGAGGUCUGGGGGGCAGAAAGGAUGAGGGCAGGCUGUAGGGACUUCUCAGGGGAGGUAAGGACUGGUGGCAUGUGCAGGGGCAGGGUGGGGGCUGAGGCCAGGCCUCGCCGUCAGAGGUACAACCUAAUGGGAGGCAGGGGGUGGGAGGCAGAGAGGAAUGCAGGUGUCCAGAUCACUCCUGGGUUUUCAGCCUGUGCAGGACUCUGAACAGGUGCCCCUCCCUAGGUGGGAACCUUAGCUUCGGUUCCCUCUGCCAGAACCUCUGUAUCUGGGACAUGACCCAUGCACCUGCCCCUGCCCCACGCAGGGUCCAGGUGGGCUUGGAUGGGGAAGGAGAGAGCAGGGAGAGACAGACCUGUGUCAACACCUUGGUGGGUGGGCUCCCCAGCAGGAGGGGUGGGACACAGGGGGCAGUGGAAAGAGACUUAGCUCUCAGAGCCAGCGCUGGGCUCUGCCUGUUGCUACCCAGCGCACCCACGGCAGCUCAGUCCCUGUGCAGCACCCCUUGCCCAGCCCACAUACCCGGGUGGGGACAGGGCUCACACCUAGGGGACAGGCUGGGGGGAAGGAACUGGCUAAAUUCCCUGGACACCUCCUAGCUGCUCACUGCUGUCUGAAGGUGUGCCUGCGGUCACCUGAGCUCUCAGAAAACACUUGUGAAUGAAUAAAUGGCCUUGGGCAGGCCAGGAACCCUUGCAGAGCCCAGUGUCCACAGCUGUGGGGUCAGGACUCACCCUCACCCAGGGCGUGAGGGGAAGGAGACGGGAUGCACACAUGCACGCACACGCACCCUGGAGGCCCCAUGGCCGGGUAUGCUCCCAUGGGGCAGGGGCACCUGGGGAGAGAGCCUUCCUGCCCAAGGUGGGGGGUCUCUGUCUGGCCCCUCAGUUGCUCAGCACCUCGCCCUGAUGUUCCUGACUUCUCUGACAGCUGGCCCCCUAAGGGCAGACCACUAGGCCCCUUCUGUGAACCUCCCACAGCCCCUGCCCCCUGGCAGGUGUUCCUCCUGUGAGCUGGUGGGGCAGAGCUGGGGCGGAGGCAGGUCGCCCCUAGGGUCAGCUGGAGGCCAUGCAGGGCGUCAGCGCCAGCCUGGGAAGCUGGGACAUACCUUAGGAACCACUGGCUGGGGCAGCUGAGCUCCCACCACGGCCUCCCCACCCCCACCAGGCCCAGCUGUUGUUUUGAUGACUCCGGGGCCAGGCGAAUCCUCACGAGAGUCCUCAUACUUAACGCCUGGCCAGAGCCUGCCCAGCCCCGGGCAGAAGGGGAAGGAAGGCGGCCUUGAACAGGGGGAAGCUCUUCUUGGGCACGAGGCAGCCAGCCAGACUCCUGUCUGACAGGGCAGACGACUGGAAACCACCGAGAACUCCUGCUGGGCCCGAGCCAGCCACACACCGGGCUCUGUUCAAGGCCAUGGAGUGAGCCCUGAGUCUGGUCAUGUCCUGAACCCUGAGCCAUAACCUUUGGGCAUGUCUGAGCCCUGACCCUGCCAGUCACAGGCAGAGCCAUGCUGGGAAUAUGGUGUGCAGGAUGCUUUGAAAAGCCUUUCAGCUAUCACUAGAUUCUGCACGAAUUACAGCAAACACACACUUG